rnacentral:rRNA from 1 species
ACGGAAGGCAGCAGUGAGGAAUAUUGGUCAAUGGACGGAAGUCUGAACCAGCCAAGUCGCGUGCGGGAUGAAGGCCCUACGGGUCGUAAACCGCUUUUGUACGGGGAUAAAGUCACCCACGUGUGGGUGUUUGUAGAUACCGUAAGAAUAAGGAUCGGCUAACUCCGUGCCAGCAGCCGCGGUAAUACGGAGGAUCCGAGCGUUAUCCGGAUUUAUUGGGUUUAAAGGGUGCGCAGGCGGGCUGCUAAGUCUCCGGUGAAAUGUCAGGGCUCAACCUUGGCACUGCCGGAGAUACUGGCGGCCUUGAGAGUGGCGGAGGUAUCCGGAAUGUGUGGUGUAGCGGUGAAAUGCAUAGAUAUCACACAGAACACCGAUUGCGAAGGCAGGAUACCAUACCAUAUCUAACGCUCAGGCACGAAAGCGUGGGGAUCGAACAGGAUUAGAUACCCUGGUA